ACCAUGUUGAAUGUUCCUUUCUAGAACAGAGUAAAACUGUCAACAUACACUUCAAUGUCCACCUGAAACUUCUUGACGUUUUGUGAUAUGUUGUUAAAAGUGACUGGCUGCUGAGACAUUGUGUUCGAAAUGACAUUGCGAAUAAAUGAUCCUAAUGAGGAAAAUUUUGAGGACUAUGGUGCUGUUUGACUGGUCUAGUAUUCCGAAAGGUGUGCAGCAGCCAUAGGCUUUAAAAAUCGCUCAGCGUCGGCGGCCACAAACUGAAGCCUUGCUGCUAACCGAGGGCCGCCUGUACUGGAAACAGUUGGGUUCAGCACAGCAGCCAGACCAGAUCUCGACAGCACCAGGUACUGGUUACCUGUUGGCCACUGCUGGUCGAGGAUGAGAACGCCAGUUGGUUCUACAGCAGUUUGGAAUAUUUGCUCGGAGUAGCAGUGUCUGCUACCAGUUGGAAUCUUCUGAUGAAGGAUGGAUGGUGGCUGAAACAUGGUCAUCAGUGGAGUUCCCUAUGUGACAGCUGUAAGACUGAUGUGACGUUCAUCUGGUUGGUGCAUCAGUGGUUGGGAUGCAGUUUGAGUUCGUCAGGGGAUCCAUCCUUUAUCAGUGGAGAUAAUAAUUUAUGUAUUGAUUAUGUACACUGCUGGAUUUGGGUGUUUUUCAUAUUUGCUGGGCAAGUGUAUGGCCCAGUUACUUUGUGUAUGAGCUGGCUUACUAUUGUGUUUUGAGCAAGUGUUUGGCUCUGGGUGUUUUCACAAUAUGUUUGACAAGUUUUGUAUCUUGAGCAAGUGUAUGGCUCUAGGUUUUUUCACAUUAGUUUGUGAUGUUGGGCAAGUGUAUGGCCCUGGUAAUUUGUUUUGACAUGCAUAAUUGUUAUGAUUUAUGUUUACUGCUUUCGUGCUGUUACUUCAAUGCUGCUGUUGGGCUGUUAUUUUUGUAAUGCAUUGUUCAUUUUUAUUUUAGCUGAACCCUCAACUCUCCUGUCAAUAUGUAAAUUGCU